GAUGAACGCUGGCGGCGUGCUUAGCACAUGCAAGUCGAGCGAAGCGGUUUCGAUGAAGUUUUCGGACGGAUUUGAAAUUGACUUAGCGGCGGACGGGUGAGUAACGCGUGGGUAACCUGCCUUACACUGGGGGAUAACAGUUAGAAAUGACUGCUAAUACCGCAUAAGCGCACAGGGCCGCAUGGCCUGGUGUGAAAAACUCCGGUGGUGUAAGAUGGACCCGCGUCUGAUUAGGUAGUUGGCGGGGUAACGGCCCACCAAGCCGACGAUCAGUAGCCGACCUGAGAGGGUGACCGGGCCACAUUGGGACUGAGACACGGCCCAAACCCCUACGGGAGGCAGCAGUGGGGAAUAUUGGGACAAUGGGCAAAGCCUGAUCCAGCGACGCCGCGUGAGUGAAGAAGUAUUUCGGGUAUGUAAAGCUCUAUCAGCAGGGAA
rnacentral:rRNA from 1 species